rnacentral:rRNA from 1 species
GAUGAACGCUAGCGGGAGGCUUAAUACAUGCAAGUCGCACGGCAGCAUUGAUAUAGUAAUAUAUUAGAUGGCGAGUGGCGCACGGGUGAGUAACGCGUACACAACCUACCCUUAAGAGGGGGAUAACUCAGAGAAAUUUGGGAUAAUACCCCAUAAUAUCGGAGAUAUGCAUAUAUUUUUGAUUAAAGUUACGGCGCUUAAGGAUGGGUGUGCGUUAGAUUAGGUAGUUGGUGAGGUAAUGGCUCACCAAGCCGACGAUCUAUAAGGGGCGUGAGAGCGUGGUCCCUCACACGGGUACUGAGACACGGACCCGACUCCUACGGGAGGCAGCAGUGGGGAAUAUUGCACAAUGGGCGAAAGCCUGAUGCAGCAACGCCGCGUGAGGGAUGACGGCCUUGGGUUGUAAACCUCUUUCAGUAGGGAAGAAGCGAAAGUGACGGUACCUACAGAAGAAGCACCGGCUAACUACCGUGCCAGCAGCCGCGGUAAU